UAGAGUUUGCGGGCUUUGCCUGCUAUCUCUUACCCAUGUCUUUUGAGUACUUACGUUUCCUCGGCGGGUCCGCCCGCCGAUUGGACAAUUUAAACCCUUUGCAGUUGCAAUCAGCGUCUGAAAAACAUAAUAGUUACAACUUUCAACAACGGAUCUCUUGGUUCU
rnacentral:misc_RNA from 1 species